CCUUCGAUAGCGCAGUUGGUAGAGCGGAGGACUGUAGAUCCUUAGGUCGCUGGUUCGAAUCCGGCUCGAAGGA
rnacentral:tRNA from 1 species